CACAAAGUCCUUUAGCAUAGGCAUGUUAAAGGAUCCGUAGAGCAGAACCCGAUAUUACAAGGAACUUGAUGCCAGCUACGUGACAAAGAGAAGAUUUAUAUAAAGAAGACCUGAAAACUUAAGUAUGGAAAAGUACACUACUAAACAGCGAACACAUAUUGUGAAAUUUUAUCAUCAACACCAAGAAUCAAUAAUUCGGACUCAACAAGCAUAUCGUCGUCAUUAUGGCACAAUGAAUUGUCCAAAUGAAUCAAUGGUCAUGUGAUUAAUUGGUCGUUUUGAGAAUCAAGGAUCAGUAAGUGACCUUCCAAGAAUAGGUUUGGGAUGACUACAGAAAAAGUGAUAGGACUUCAUUUCUUCGAAAAUAUGGAUGGAGACACCGUUAUUAUCACUAGAGACGGAUACCACUCUAUGAUCCAGAAUUUCUUACGUCCAGCAGUUCAAGAUAUGCCUGGUAUGUAGUUUCAGCAGGAUGGAGCCACAGCUCACACGGCAAGCAAAACAAUGGAAAUGCUCAUGCAAAUUCUUGAUAGAAAUAAAUUUAUCGAUUUUCAGAGAUAAAUUGGCCAUCUCGUUCUUCAGAUCUAACCGCUCCAGACAUUUUUCUAUUGGACUAUCGUAAGAAAAAACGUUUAUGUCAACAAGCCUCAAACAACUGCAGAUCUUAAAAAUAAACAUUAGAACAGAAAUUAGCUCGCUGGAGCCACAAACGUAAAGGGCUGUUAUGGAAAACGCCAUAGAAAGAGCACGUUUAUGUAAAUUGGAAAAUGGACGCCAUUUA